AACGCAUAUUGCACUCUCUGGUAUUCCGGAGAGUAUGCCUGUUUCAGCAUCAGACGAGUAGAGUCGAAACCCCCCUCGCUCGCGGGGCGGGGCUAUCGGAUCUGGGACUUGCAGGCUCGCGCGUCUCCCUCUCGGGGGUCCCGCGCGGGGCGUGCUGGCCUGAAAUUCAACCGUGGCGGAACCCAGGUACCACACCCGGGGCUUUCAAAGGCGUCAUAGUUGGCCCAUGGUCAUCUUUCGCCGGACUAGAGCCAGGGCUGGGGCUGACCGCGUGUCGCGAGCGAUCGUGACAACCCAACCUUUUAAGACUUGGUCUGAAAUCAGGCAGGACUACCCGCUGAACUUAA
rnacentral:misc_RNA from 1 species